rnacentral:rRNA from 1 species
CCUACGGGUGGCUGCAGUGGGGAAUAUUGGGCAAUGGGCGCAAGCCUGACCCAGCAACGCCGCGUGAAGGAAGAAGGCUUUCGGGAUGUAAACUUCUUUUAGUGAGGACGAAACAAAUGACGGUAGUCAAAGAAUAAGCGACGGCUAACGACGGGCCAGCAGCCGCGGUAAGACGGAGGUGGCAAGCGUUAGCCGGAUUUACUGGGUGUAAAGGGGGUGUAGGCGGGACUGCAAGGCAGAUGUGCAACCCAUGGGCUCAACCCCUGGCCUGCAUUUGCACCUGGAGUUCUUGAGUGCUGGAGAGGCAGGUGGACUUCCGUGUGUAGCGGUGACAUGCGUCGAUAUUCGGAGGAACACCAGUGGCGAAGGCGGCCUGCUGGACUUUAACUGACGCUGAGGCUCGAAAGCGUGGGGAGCAAACAGGAUUAGAUACCCCAGUAGUC